UCUAGCUUUAGCCAUUGGAUGUGCAUCUGUGAUUUGCUGUCGUUCUUCGCCCAAACAGAAGGCUCUUGUAAGUUUUUGUUAUAACCAACCUACCAAAAUGUUGUUGUUCAUUCAUCUAAUUUUGAUAAGGGUGUAAAAAAAUGUAGGUCACAAGACUUGUUAAAGAAGGAACGGGCAAAACAACGUUGGGUAUUGGCGAUGGAGCAAAUGAUGUUGGUAUGCUUCAAGAAGCUGAUGUAGGGAUUGGUAUUAGUGGUUUUGAAGGAAUGCAGGUAAUAUAUCAAUUAUCAAAUACUUUUUCUAUUGAGAAUAUGAAGCUAGUUCAGUGUGUAACUAUUUAUUGUUAAAACUUAAAAAAAUUCAGGCUGUUAUGGCAAGUGACAUUGCUAUUGCUCAGUUCCGUUAUUUGGAACGUUUGCUGCUUGUGCAUGGACACUGGUGUUAUCGUCGGAUCACAUCAAUGGUAUAUCCUUAAGAAACAAAAAAAAUGCAUUUAUGUCUAAAAGUAUCAUUAUCAUUUGUCUCCCGUUAAUUAUUCUAUUUCUUUUGAUUUCACAGAUAUGCUACUUCUUUUAUAAGAACAUCGCUUUUGGGAUAACUUUGUAUCUAUUUGAAGCUUACACCACCUUCUCUGGCGAAGCCCUCUACAACGAAUGGUUCUUGUCAUUUUUUAACGUCUUCUUCACAUCACUGCCUGUAUUAGUUCUUGGUAUCUUCGAUCAAGAUGUUUCUGCAAAAUCUUGUCUCAAGGUAAUUUAAGAAUCACCUGUGUUUCUAUACAUGACUUGAUUUUGCAUCAAACAAAAUAUUAAGUGUCACUCUGUCAUUCCUGCAGUUCCCUCUGUUGUACAAGGAAGGCAUUGAAAACGUUCUCUUUAGUUACAAACGCAUAUUUGGUUGGAUCUUUACUGCAAUCCUUAAUGCAUUCACUAUCUUCUACUUUUGCACAGCUGCAAUCCAAGAUCAGGCCUUCCGUAAAGGUGGGCAAACUUUAAGCCAAGAUAUCCUUGGUCUUGUAAUGUACACAACUCUGGUGUGGGUUGUGAAUGUACAAAUGGCGAUCUUUGUCAAAUACUUUACACUUGUUCAACAUAUCACUAUAUGGGGAAGCAUAGCUGUGUGGUAUCUGUUCAUGUUGGCAUAUGGUGCUAUCACACCUACCAUAUCAACAAAUGCUUACAUGGUAUUCAUAGAAGCUGCAGGUCCCUCAGCUAUUUAUUGGUUCUUAACGCUGUUCGUUGUGAUUGCCUCUGUAAUUCCGUACUUUGCUUAUUCUGCAUUCAUGGUGAGGUUCUUCCCCAUGUUCCACGAAAUGAUUCAGUGGCAGAAGAAGGUUGAUGGGCAGAGUGAUGAUCCUGAAUUUGUAGAGAUGGUGCGUGCAAGGUCUAUAAGAUCGAACACGGUUGGGUUUAGUGCUCGAAGAGAAUCACUACUAUCCUAAUCCAUUUGUAUGUACAUAGCAUAUUUAUUUACAGUACACGGCCAAUUCCGAGCAUUGUCGGAUUACACGAUUGAAAUUUUGAAAUCAGUAGUAGUUGAGUAACUGUAAUUUGUAAAUGUACGUAAUUCACACAGUGAUACAGUUAGAGGGCCUUGAGAGGCAGGCAGAUUCUAUAUAUUGACUGAUAUACGUAGUUUAUUUGUACAUAUUUGUAUUUUUUUGGGUGAAUAAACAUUGGAUUUUAAUUAGUUUGCGGUCUUGCAGUCGUUUUCUGUUUACUCCUAAGAAGAUGUAAUUGAUAAUUCAGCGGUUUAUUAUAACUUAUAUAUAAGUGUAAAAUUGAGAGAAUAUUUGUUUCCAUUAAUAUAUUAACAGAAUAACACCUGAAUUCCUGAAUGUAGGGGUGAGAUCUGGGACCGAUCCGAGGCAGGGAAAAUCAUAAAAAUCCAAAUGAUUUGAUCCCGUUGCGAACAAUGGGAUGAAAACAAGUAGACAACUCUGUCUGAAUUGGGCACCAAAUAAAUUAAUUAUACACAUUUUUUAUUUGAGGCCGUGGCUCGUGUUGCGAUGUUGUAGACUUGCAGUGUUGAACUGUUGAUGUAUGAUUUUUGAACUUUGAAGCCAGGAAGGACCCAAGGGUAGGCUGGUAAUUCAGUGGUCUAUAUUCUACAAUUUGGAGGGGGAAAUAAAUACCUAGAUAUAAUUUUGAACAAUAUUUGCAAGAAAUAAUAACAAUAUUAAUUUCCCAGAGGGGCAGUCGGGCACAGGCCAUAUCUCAAAUCGUCUUUUGCUCCUCCUCAGUCCUCCCUCCCUCCCUGUUGAAGUCAUGAAAUGUAGGGUGUUCACCGUCCAACUUAUUCUUACUCUAUGCUAAGGCCUAAGACCCUAAGAUCAAGUUCAUCAUCCACAACGAUAUCACUUCAUUUCUUUGUAGAUUGGGCAUUUUAAUAAAAAAUGAUUGUCAUCGCCGCUGCUUCACUCCGAUUCUCAUCUUCUUCGCACGCUGUGUUUCCUUCUCUCUUUCUGCCGGUUCAUACUUCACGACAAUUCCUCCUGGUACCAGCGAGGCGAGACAGCAGUAUAUCUUGUAUCGAUUUUUCUCCUCCUCCUCCUCCUCCUCCUUCUCCUUCUUCGUCGUCGUCUGACGGAAAUGGAGGGAUGAGAUGGGAGUCUUUUCGCAAGAAGAAAGUUGUGAUGCGUGUGGGAUAUGUAGGCACGGAUUACAGAGGUAAUAUAUUUGCAUUUCCUCUCUCUUAUCUUCUUUAUUUCUAAAUUUCUUUUGUAUUUUUUCCCUUGUCCGUAUUUUCUUAAUUUCUCAUCCCCUUAAAAAAAAUCAAUCUUUCUUCUUCUUCUUUCAAAUUCAGGUCUGCAGAUUCAAAGAGGUCCUGGAUCAUUUCCAAGUAAGACAAUAAUCUUACUCUACUACUUGAUUAACUGAUUUUACAUUUCACUUUUCUUUUGCAUCGAUGUAGUUAAUAAUUGUGUUAUCAAUUUUUCGAACUAGUUCUUCAUUGUCUCUUUUUUAACUUUAUAGUUAAGAUAAAUAUUGAUAGGUUUAUAACUUUAUAUUGGCUUAUGUGAUCUUCAGAAUUUGGAUAACUAUUUUUUUUAAUGUUUCCAUCAAUGUUCACUUUUAAAAAAGUUUGCAACUUUAUACUGUCCACGAGUUUCAUACUACUUAAUGAGUUAUUGUUACUUUCUUAGUGUGUGUUCUUUCCUAUGUUAAUAUGUUUUACUUGUAUCUCAGAAACAUACAAUUUUUUUUAUCAUAUUAACUAUCAGGAGUCAGGACUUGUUAAUUUAAUUAAUGAUACUUACUACUAAAUCAUUGAAGAUCGAAAACCCAUUGUUAAAGGUUCAAAAUCUUACCUGCAGCAAUUGAAGGAGAAUUAGAAGCUGCUAUAUUUAGGGCAGGAGGUAUCCAUAACGGUAAUUUUGGGGAUCUUUACAAAAUUGGGUGGACUAGAAGUAGCAGAACUGAUAAAGGUGUAAGUGAUAUAUAUAUAGUUUCAUAAUCAUUAAUGCUAAACGACAUAUGUAAAGUUUUUUUUAAAAUUGAGGUAUAUAUUCGAUAUCUGUAACUGUAAAUCUCUAAUACUAAUUUGGUAUUAUGGAUCAGCACUGAAAGCAUUUUUGUAGGAUGUCAAAUAUAUAUCUUCAUUGAAAUUUGAAAUAAAAAAAUGGUUCAUUUGUUAGUCGUUACCCGGGAGUAGGAUCUAGGGGCAAUUUUUUUUUACCUGCUUUACAAAAUUCGCACCAUGCCUGAGACCCGCUGAUCCGCUGUUAUUUUGGAGAAGGAAUGAAGGAUGAAUCACAUCAUUCGCCUUAUAUUCUGAACCGCUCCGUUCACCCUUAUUUUUCAGGAGGCAGGCUUCUCUAUUCUUAUCUCUAGUUCCUACAAGAGAAGCCAAAA
rnacentral:lncRNA from 1 species